rfam:Perkinsus marinus ATCC 50983 gcontig_1104296648874, whole genome shotgun sequence.
GGCCCUAUGGCGCAACGGUAGCGCAUCUGACUCCAGAUUGGAAGGUUGUCCGUUCGAAUCGGGCCGGGGUCA